GACGAACGCUGGCGGCGUGCCUAAUACAUGCCAGUUGAGCGCUGAAGGUUGGUACUUGUACCAACUGGAUGAGCAGCGAACGGGUGAGUAACGCGUGGGGAAUCUGCCUUUGAGCGGGGGACAACAUUUGGAAACGAAUGCUAAUACCGCAUAAAAACUUUAAACACAAGUUUUAAGUUUGAAAGAUGCAAUUGCAUCACUCAAAGAUGAUCCCGCGUUGUAUUAGCUAGUUGGUGAGGUAAAGGCUCACCAAGGCGAUGAUACAUAGCCGACCUGAGAGGGUGAUCGGCCACAUUGGGACUGAGACACGGCCCAAACUCCUACGGGAGGCAGCAGUAGGGAAUCUUCGGCAAUGGACGAAAGUCUGACCGAGCAGCGCCGCGUGAGUGAAGAAGGUUUUCGGAUCGUAAAACUCUGUUGGUAGAGAAGAACGUUGGUGAGAGUGGAAAGCUCAUCAAGUGACGGUAACUACCCAGAAAGGGACGGCUAACUACGUG
rnacentral:rRNA from 1 species